AACAACUACACUAUAUUCAGCUAUCACAUUUGCCUUUACAUUGCUUUUCAUCAUUUCUUUUUACAUCACAUUUGCUCAAAGUAAAACAUUACAUUCUUUUCUUUCUUUGCUUUAUACAUCAGCAUCUUCAAAUACAAAAGAAGUUAGAAGGGUAAGCUACUAACAAAGUAUAAAACCCGACUCGGGUAGCCUCUGUCUACGGCGCGAUACCUUUACCGCGGUCGCUCGCCGGCUCACUCGGUCCCGGCUCUGU
rnacentral:lncRNA from 1 species